AGCCGCGGUAAUUCCAGCUCCAAUAGCGUAUAUUAAAGUUGUUGCAGUUAAAAAGCUCGUAGUUGAAUUUCGAGACCGGUUUAUUGGUCGUGCUUUUGUACGUACUGGUAUUAUUGGUUUCUCCUUUCUGACGAAUCAUAAUGCCAUUAAUUUGGUGUUUUGGGGAAUCAGGACUGUUACUUUGAAAAAAUUAGAGUGUUUAAAGCAGGCUUACGCUUGAAUACAUUAGCAUGGAAUAACGAAAUAGGACGUUUGAUUUUAUUUUGUUGGUUUCUAGGAUCGACGUAAUGAUUAAUAGGGAUAGUUGGGGGCAUUAGUAUUCAAUUGUCAGAGGUGAAAUUCUUGGAUUUAUUGAAGACUAACUACUGCGAAAGCAUUUGCCAAGGAUGUUUUCAUUAAUCAAGAACGAAAGUUAGGGGAUCGAAGACGAUCAGAUACCGUCGUAGUCUUAACCAUAAACUAUGCCGACUAGGGAUCGGAUGAUGUUAAUUUUUUAAUGACUCAUUCGGCGCCUUACG
rnacentral:rRNA from 1 species